rnacentral:rRNA from 1 species
AACGAACGCUGGCGGCAUGCCUAACACAUGCAAGUCGAACGAGACCUUCGGGUCUUUUGGCGCAUGGGUGCGUAACGCGUGGGAACAUGCCCUUAGGGUCGGCAUAACUCUCCGAAAGGGGUGCUAAUACCGGAUAAUGUCUUCGGACCAAAGAUGUAUCGCCUUUGGAUGGUCCCGCGUUGGAUUAGCUUGUUGGUAGGGUAAAAGCCUACCAAGGCGAGGAUCCAUACCUUGUCUGAGAGGAUGGUCAGCCACACUGGGACUGGGACACGGCCCAGACUCGUACGAGAGGGGGGAGAGGGGGAUAUAGGACCGCGGGCGGAAGGCUGAUGCAGCGCGGCCGGGAGAACGAUGAAGGGCUUGGAGUUGUAAUGCGCUAGUAACCAGGCUGAUAAUGACGGUACCGAGAGAAUAAGCUCCGGCUAACUACGUG